UCCAUGUUUACCAUAGUACCCACUACCCAGAUCAGUCUUGGUACGUUACAGACAAGAGUGUUUACCUGUCUGAAAAGAUCUUUUCACUCAGUUUAUCAUAGUCUGCUAUGAUAGGGAACAUAUUUGCUGGCAUACUCAGUGGCUUACAUUAUUCUUUAAAGUCAUCUUGUACAUAAUAUGUUCAUUUUAAUACUGGGAGCUGUCAUUGUGGGUUAUAGGCCUAUGUUACAGUUUUCACAUGUACUUGGUUGUGCUAAAUUAUUGUAUUUUUAUUUAACUGUUCCCUUCCAGGCACAAGCAGAUAGUGAUCAAUCCACACAUUCCAUAAUCCCAGCAAUAAAAGAUACUGUGGGUUCGAUUUAUAGUCCAUCAUACCCAGGACUACAGUUCCCUUGAUGUCUAACCACAUAAAUUUUCAGAACGAUGGCCAGCACUCUUCAUAGAGAGACAGGUGUUUGCUGAGUUUAAUAGAAUCGCCAGUAAGAAUCUUGAAGGAGACUUCUUUGAGGCUCUGGACCAGUAUGCCCCAC